GACGAACGCUGGCGGCAUGCCUAACACAUGCAAGUCGAACGAGACCUUCGGGCCUAGGUGCGCACGGGUGCGUAACGCGUGGUAACCUGCCCUUAGGUUCCGAAUAACUCCCCUAAAGGUAUCCUAAUACCGCAGAAGGUCUUCGGGCCAAAGAUUUAUCGCCUUUGGAUGGGGCCGAGUUGGUUUAGCUAGUUGGGAGGGUAAACGCCUAUCAAGGCGACGUUCCAGAGCUGGUCUGAGAGGAUGAUCAGCCAGACUGGGAAUGAGACAAGGACCACACUGCUACGGAAGGGAGCAGUGGGGAAUAUUGGACAAUGGGCGAAAGCGCGAUCCAGCAAUGCCGCGUGAGUGAUGAAGGCCUUAGGGUUGUAAAGCUCUUUCACCCGGGAUGAUAAUGACAGUACCGGGAGAAUAAGCUCCGGCUAACUCCGUG
rnacentral:rRNA from 1 species